CACUUUCACAGAUGAAGAAACCUGAUCAAGUAUAUAUAGCAGGUCUCCCUGUGUACCAGAAUGAGAAACUGGAAGGUCACAAGUUGUCAGCUGAACUAUGGGUGCACUAAGACUGCUAACACAAUGGAAGAAGUGAAAAUGGAAAGAGAGAUUGAGGGGACCGCACAAAAUGGGAAAAUUUCUUCCUGCAGAUCAGGCCUACCCAGUGACAUUAAUUUUUACCAUCAGUCUUCUCAGUGUAGCACUCUUGAUGAAGCCUGAAGUACAUGACAAUAUGACUGAAAUUCAUUAUCAAGAAAAUAGUAUAGUGAACUUUGCAGCAAAUCAUCACAAGUAAUCUUGUUUUUCU